GCGGACGUAGUCAAGUGGACCAAGGCAGUGGAUUGUGAAUCCACCACAUGUGGGUUCAAUUCCCAUCAUACGCC
rnacentral:tRNA from 1 species